rnacentral:misc_RNA from 13 species
AUAAUUAUGUGGAGAUCAUGAGAUGUGGUCUGGUGUGACGUAGGUUUUAGAAAAACAUCACACCAGACCACAUCUCAUGAUCUCCACAUAAUC